rnacentral:rRNA from 1 species
UAACCUGCCCAAGAUAUCGGGAUAACACCUGGAAACAGAUGCUAAUACCGGAUAACAACAGAUGAUGCCUAUCAACUGUUUAAAAGAUGGUUCUGCUAUCACUCUUGGAUGGACCUGCGGUGCAUUAGCUAGUUGGUAGGGUAACGGCCUACCAAGGCGAUUAUGCAUAGCCGAGUUGAGAGACUGAUCGGCCACAUUGGGACUGAGACACGGCCCAAACUCCUACGGGAGGCAGCAGGC